rnacentral:rRNA from 1 species
AUGAAUAUUGCCCUCCUUUCUUGCUGGCUCUCGCACAUCUCGCAUGGGCACAGUGGUCUUUGGUUAGACAUCAUCCGGAACAAGUACCUGCGUGGCCAACCGUUGGCCUUCUGUCAACGGUCCGGCGGAUCCCAGUUCUGGCAGUCAGUCAUUCAACUACUCCCUGUUCUCCGCAUUGGGACUUCCAUAUCGGUCGGAUCGGGUUCUGCGACUCUGUUCUGGUUUGACCGAUGGGCGGGAGACACCCCCUUCACGGCCCGUUUCCCUGACCUCUUCUCCAUCGCUAUCGUCCCCUCGAUCUCAGCUGAAAGGCCCCUUAUUGACUUAGGGCACCUCGCGUUCCGGAGGCCAUUUGGACCUCCGGAAGCCGCUUCCUGGCAGGAGCUGCUUGAUUGCGUCGCUCUCCACGAGCCGGUUGUUGAUGCUGGUCCGGAUGAGGUCCGGUGGCGUCUUGAGCCAUCUGACCAAUUCUCCACCAAGUCCCUCUAUUUGGCCAUUGCCCCCUCCUCCGCCUCCCCCCUCCCGGCAGUGUGGUCCAUUCGCCUGCCUCUGAAAAUCCGGAUCUUCAUGUGGCUAUGGAUCCGUGGUCGGCUUCCGUCUGGGGUGGAGGUCCGCAAGCGCAAUGGUCCUGGCUCCGGCCUUUGCCCGCUCUGUGGUACCCCCGAAGAUUCGAACCACAUCUUCUUCUCCUGCAUGUCCGCUCAAUUCGUUUGGAGCUGCUUUAGAGAGGUUGUGGGAGGUGGUUGGUGCCACACCAACUUCCCCGACCUCUUCGCUGAACUCCAGACCUCCCCCCUACCCUCUCGCCACAUUAGGUGGCUUGAGAUUGGGGCACUCGUGUGGACCCUCUAG